rnacentral:rRNA from 1 species
UAUCACUAAGCUGUGUAACAUACANAGGUCCCUCGCCGNGUGCUCGAGUUGUAACUUGAAGAUCGUUUUCUGGUACUGGCCCUUGUCUAUGUUCCUUGGAACAGGACGUCAUAGAGGGUGCAGAAUCCCGUCUGAUGGGGUGUCCAGUGCUUUGUAGAUUUCUAUCGAAGAGUCGAGUUGUUUGGGAAUGCAGCUCUAAGUGGGUGGUAAAUUCCAUCUAAAGCUAAAUACUGGCGAGAGACCGAUAGCGAACAAGUACAGUGAUGGAAAGAUGAAAAGAACUUUGAAAAGAGAGUGAAAAAGUACGUGAAAUUGUUGAAAGGGAAGGGUAUUGGAUCAGACUUGGUGUUUUGUGAUUAUCUUCCCUUCUUGGGUUGUGCACUCGCAUUUCACUGGGCCAGCAUCGGUUCGGAUGGCAAGAUAAUGGCUUGGGAACGUGGCACUCUUCGGAGUGUGUUAUAUCCCUUGUUGAUGUUGCCUAUCUGGACCGAGGACUGCGGCUUCUGCCUAGGAUGCUGGCGUAAUGAAUUCAAUACC